rnacentral:rRNA from 1 species
GUUCCCGGGCCUUGUACACACCGCCCGUCAAGCCAUGGAAGCUGGGGGUACCUGAAGUCGGUGACCGCAAGGAGCUGCCUAGGGUAAAACUAGUAACUAGGGCUAAGUCGUAACAAGGUAGCCGUACCGGAAGGUGCGGCUGGAACACCUCCUUUCUAGAG